rnacentral:rRNA from 1 species
UACGUAGGGGGCGAGCGUUGUCCGGAGUUACUGGGCGUAAAGCGCACGCAGGCGGUCUGCUAAGUUUGGAGUGACAGUUGGUGGCUUAACUGCCAAAGUGCUUCGAAAACUGACAGACUUGAGGGCUUCAGAGGGACACGGAAUUCCGGGUGGAGUGGUGAAAUGCGUAGAGAUCCGGAGGAACACCAAAGGCGAAGGCAGUGUCGUGGGGAGUACCUGACGCUGAGGCGCGAAGGCGUGGGGAGCGAACGGG